CGGCCGGCGGAAGCACAUCCUGAAGGAAGCGGCGCGCACGCUGCUGCCCUCGUCGAUCCUGGAUCGCCGCAAGCAGGGCUUCGGCGUGCCGCUGGGG
rnacentral:misc_RNA from 1 species